rnacentral:lncRNA from 1 species
CCAAAACCUGAGGAUGGGGAAUAUAAAUUUGGUGCCAGGGUGAGGAAAAAUUACCGGACACUAGUACUGGGCAAACGACCAGUCCUUCAGACACCUCCAGUCAAACCAAAUUUGAAAUCAGCUAGAAGCCCUCGUCCUACAGAUCUUGCUCUCCUCUGAUCCUGUGACGAUUUCGCUCCUCCAGGCAGAAGAGCCUGCACCCCAGCUCGUCCAGCGCAGCCUCCAGUCCAAGCGGCCACAAGGCCGAGAGCAGAGGCGCGUCGGCCACCUAGGGCCUUCUCCCCAUCAGAGACUGGAUUGCUUCCCCUCAGUUUGCAUUUCUUUUGUGUGUCCUGAAGUCAUCGCCCAUCCCUGCACUUGCGGUCCUGUAUUUCUCACCUUCUUGCCCAGGUCUCAUUCCUCCUCCCCAGGCAAAAGGGACCCAGCUCUUUGCAUUGCUUAGCGGAUUUCCGAGGCCUCCAAACGUGAGCUUGUGAGAGGCAAGUGGCAAAGGGACUGGGCCAGUAGAGUGGGAGUAACCUGGGGCAAGGCCUGCUUGCUUUGGCUCCGUGGUUCCCAACCCUUGGAACUUCUUUCAGUGCAUCUGCAAGAGGAAUGGUGACCUGGAAACGGGAAACGUGAGACAGUGACCUGGAAAACCACCCUCGGCUGGGAGGUUGGAGUGCAGCAAUGCAAACAAAGCUGCUACCGGGGAAGAGGGGAAACAGAGGUGCACCGCGCAUAGGUCACAGGAAAGUGCAACAAGCUUGUUUUCCCGGGUGUUUAAAAUGCAGCCCCAGUUGUAAAGUGUGUGAAAUUACGCACUGGUCUCUUAAAGAGUGCCUAAUUUAUAGUAAAUAGCGAGGUCUUUGU